rnacentral:rRNA from 1 species
UACGGGGGGAGCAAGCGUUGUUCGGAUUUACUGGGCGUAAAGGGCGCGUAGGCGGCCACUGCAAGUCGGUUGUGAAAUCUCCGGGCUUAACCCGGAAAGGUCAAUCGAUACUGCAGGGCUAGAGUGCAGAAGGGGCAACUGGAAUUCUCGGUGUAGCGGUGAAAUGCGUAGAUAUCGAGAGGAACACCUGCGGCGAAGGCGGGUUGCUGGGCUGACACUGACGCUGAGGCGCGACAGCGUGGGGAGCAAACAGG